CAAAGAUCUGAUGAUUGCUUUUGAAACUUUGGCUCUAGUAGAUCAUAUUUCGAUGUUUAAACCAGUAUUUUUCUCUUGGGCCGAUUGGAUUUGGAUUUCUACCAAAAAAGCCCUACUUGACACAAAAAGGUUCCACCUCUGAUAAGUCUGUGCCAAAAAUCACCAGAAUAUUCUUAGUAAGCUUUUAAAAAUUGUAGGAUAACAAAGAAAAGUCCAUAUAUCAUUAGUACAUAAUUUAAUGGAUUUACACAGUGAACAUACCCAGUUCAAAAAGAGACCAUUACCUGCCCCACAGAAGCUCCCCUCAAACCAUUUCCCAGCGUACUCCCUGCCUUUAACACCAUAGAUUAAUUUUGCUUGUUUUCUUGAUUGUAUAAUAUUUAUCCAUCUACUGUUGAUGGCCAUUGAGUUAUUUCCAUUUGGGGGUUAUUAUGAAUAAUGCUUCUAGGAACAUUCUUACAUUUGUCUUCUAGUAUGUACAUAUAUAUGUUUUGAUUGGGUAGGUCCUAGGAAUGGAAUUGCUGAUCCAUAGGGUAAGUAUAUGUUCAUGAUAAUAGGUAAUGUCAGUUUUCCAAAAUAAACUCCAAUGUAUGAGAGUUACAGUUGCUUCACAUUCUUGCUUACACUUGUAAUUGUUUAACCUUUGUCUUUUUGUCCUUUAAUUUGAGCCGUUCUGGUGGGUGUGAUGGUAUCUCAUGGUUUUAUUUUGGGGUUCCCUGAUGACUUUCAUAUUUAUUAGCAUUUUGAUAUCAUUUUUGAAGUAUCUGUUUCUUUUGCCUAUUGUUUUUUAAUUUUAUUUAUUUAUUUUUGGCUGCGCUGGGUCUUUGUUGCUGCGUGUAGGCUUUCUCUAGCUGCGGCGAGUGGGGGCUACUCUUCGUCGUGGUGCGCAGGCUUCUCAUUGCAGUGGCUUCUCUUGUUGCAGAGCAUGGGCUCUGUGCGCGGGCUUCAGUAGUUGUGGCGCACGGACUUAGUUGCUCUGCGGCCUGUGGGAUCUUCCCGGACCAGGGCUUGAACCCGUGUCCCCUGCAUUGGCAGGUGGAUUCUUAACCACUGUGCCACCAGGGAAGUCCUGCCUAAUUAUUUUUUUUUUUUGCGGUACACGGGCCUCUCACUGUUGUGGCCUCUCCCGUUGCGGAGCAACAGGCUCCGGGCGCGCAGGCUCAGCGGCCAUGGCUCACAGGCUUAGCCGGUCCGCGGCAUGUGGGAUCUUCCCGGACCGGGGCACGAACCCGUGUCCCCUGCAUCGGCAGGUGGACUCCCAACCACUGCGCCACCAGGGAAGCCCCUGGCAAUAGUUUUUUGACCUGGGUGGUAGUUACUUGGCUGUUCACUCUAUCAAUUGUAAAUGUGUUUUAUAUAUUAUUCUGUAUGCAUAAGAUAUCUCACAGUAAACAUUUUUGUAAUUUAAGAUUUUUAACAUAUGAAUGGAGGAAUGUUGGCUAUGCUGGUUAAUCUUAGUCAUUUCUAUAGGAAGAAUAUGUAGAUGUUGAUUAGUCAAAUGGCUUAUGCACAGGGCAGCAGUUCUUUGAUAACGAAUUAUUUGGACCAGUAUAAACAAGGGGUUCAUUAUAUUUGUUGCUAGAUACGUGUUCUUUUAAAUAUAUGAGGUCUAAAAUACUGUACUUAAAAGAAAUUAUCAUGAAUUGGUAAACAGCUGUUCCUGUGAUUCAGUGUCUUUAAUUUUCCUUCUCCCUCCCCUUGUUUACUCCUGUUCCAAUCAUACCAAUUACACAAUGCUGUUUCAAGGUAACCGUGCCUUCUCACAUACUAAUCGCUUUGCCUGGAAAGUCAUGUUUCUGCCUAACUCCUUAUUUUUAAAACUGAAGUGUGAUUGCCUCCAGAAAACCUCUUAUAAUACCUUUCUUUGUUUCAGCCACACCUGUGUUUCCUUUUAAUUCUGUGGGUAAUACCAUCACAGCAUUAUGGUAUAAUGAUUGUAUGUUAGUUGUUUGAAGGCAAAGAUCUGGUCUCAACUUUGUAUGCCCAGUACCUACUGUAAUAGCUGGCAUGAGUGAACGUUUAGAAAAGUUUUUACUUCAUUGUUUUAACUUCAUUUACUUUAAUAUCUGUUAAGUAUUUCUUAAAAUUAGAAUUUUAAAACAAGGAUGAACUUAGAAAUCAUCUAUGACCCCUCGAAUUUAAAAUGUUUUUAAGAUGGUAUGACAUCAGGUUUAAUAGCUGAGAUUUGGAAAUCUUGGGUCCACCACUUGCUGCAUAAUCUUGGACAAAUUAAGUUCUCUGAACUUUAUUUUUUCCUUAUUUGUAAUAUGAGGAUAAUAAAAGGGUCUCUUUCAUAAGACUGAUGUGAGGAUUGCUUGAAACAAUGUAUGUAAUGCUGUGCCUGACGUUAGCACACAGUAAAUACUAGUGUGUAUAUAUAUCAUAUGUAUAUAUAUUGUGUGUAUAUAUGUAUAUUAUUACCCAUGAGGAGAUGGGGCCAGUAAAGUUGAGUGACUUAAAUAAGGUUCCUUAGCUUGGUAGUGGAUGAGAAAGGACUUGAGCUUGUCUUCUCAAUUCUAUCUAGUUGCUCUUAACACAGGUGCAGAAAAGUUUUUUUGCUUUUGGUAAAAUGUAUGACAUGAGCCAUACUUACUAUGGAGGGAAACUAGGCCAGACAAAUGACAUGAAGUAUGCAUUAUUUUCAUGUAUUCAGCAAAUUGGGGGCUAUGUACCAGAUGUGCUAGAGUCUUCUUAAUUGUGUUAAGAAGACAAAGCCUUAAGAAUCAAAGGAAUACUAAGCAGGAAAGAUUUUGGAAAAAGAGUUUAGAGAUACACUUUAAUACUGAAGUUUCUGUCUUGGGAGAUGCUUUGUCCAAGCUUUGCCCAUCCCACUAUACUGCUAAUCCCAUUCCUCUCUCUGCCCCUUAAGAAAAGACUAUGGGUUUCUUAGGCUAUAAUUGUAACAAUUAAUGAAUGUAAACCGGUCCUCUUCCUUUUUCACCAUCCCUUCCCUAACAAUUCAAUCCAAAAGCCAUUAAGUGGGGCUGAGCAAGGUAAAGCUAUCAUGACCCAGAGCUGGGUGUCACUAAAACACAGUGAAGAGCAUCGUGAAGGAGCAGCCCAAAUGAAUGUGAGGGGUAAUCCAUGCAGAAAGGAGGUCCAUUCAGGAUAUCUGAGCCCAAGUGGUGGAGGGGGAGGCAUCUGUGCAGUGGAUGGUGAUGGUGACUGCCCACCAAGGGAUGUCAGCUUGAGCACGGUGAGAAGGGCAUUUGUACAGGGACAGUCCCAGCAUAAGGUGUCAGAACCUGAAUGGGGUAAAAAGGGCUAUGUAGGGCUUCCCUGGUGGCGCAGUGGUUGAGAGUCCGCCUGCCGAUGUAGGGAACACGGGUUUGUGCCCCGGUCCGGGAGGAUCCCAUAUGCCGUGGAGCGGCUGGGCCCGUGAGCCAUGGCCCCUGAGCCUGUGCGUCCGGAGCCUGUGCUCCGCAACGGGAGAGGCCACAACAGUGAGAGGCCCGCAUACCGAAAAAAAAAAAGGGGAGGGGGGCUGUGUAGACGGCAGUGACAGCAGCAAUGGAAUAUUGCUUACAUUCAGGGAUAUUGAUCAAAAGUAAAUAUAUUUGUUAUAAUGGGAGCCAGGUUUCUCAAUGCCCUAGAAGGAGUUAUAAACAUGAAGAGAGAAAAUGAGAAUGAACUUUGUAGUGUUGGUUUGGAACUGGAGUUACUGGUAUAAACUCAUAUAGUUUUCAAGAUUGAGAAAUAAUAAUAGAUGAAAAUGUGUGUUUUUGUGCACACAUGUGAGAAGACGGGAUCAGUGACACUCCAAUGAGCAUACCUGGCAUCUAGAUCUCGGUUUCUAAAUAUAUUCUUCACUGAAAGAAACCAGGACUUCUUGGAGAAAUGGCUGUGGCAGAGAAAGUACAAGAUGAUACUGUAACAUCUUACUCCAGAAGCAUGCUAGAAAGCAAAGAGAAGACAUGAGGUAGCAGGAAGGAAUGAAAGAGUGAAGAUAAUGAAGUGUCUUUGUGCAGGUUACUAGGGGCUUCUGGGGGCAGUGACCUAAUCCAGUUGAUGACUCCAACCUUGAGACUUCCAGGUUGCAGAUGCACAUGAUAGCCUCCCAAUUACAGUGACUUGAACUAAAACUACGAUAUUGUUGCAACACCCUUAUUUAGUGAUUUUCAAAACAGCCCUUGUAGGGCUUCCCUGGUGGCACAGUGGUUAAGAAUCCGCCUGCCAAUGCAGGGGAUGUGGGUUCGAGCCCUGGUCCGGGAAGAUCCCACAUGCCGUGGAGCAACUAAGCCUGUGUGCCACAACUACUGAGCCUGCGCUCUGGAGGCCGCGAGCCACAACUACUGAAGCCUGUGCUCCGCAACAAGAGAAGCCAACGCAGCGGGAGGCCCACGCGCCACAACGAAGAAUGGAAGGUACCUAGGUCCAGGAGACGUAAUAAGGUUCUCAAGACCUGGAGAAGACUCAGGCUCCUAGGUAAGUUCUCCUUCUCCCCCCUUUCCUUGCAUUAACCCAGGCUAAGAACUGGGAUUUCAACAAGGAUGGCUCUGCCGUGAGGCAUCUUGAUAAUAAAUGACUGCCUGCCACAGGCCCUUGUAAUGAAAAGAAUAAUGGAAGGAAAAAGCAGCUCAAUACACUUUUGAUGUGAAAAUUCAGUGAAGAUUCCGACCAAGAAAAAUUCCAUGGUGUGCUCCCAGUACUCGGUUUAUGAGUUUUCUUAUUUCAGUUUGGUUUCCAGAGACAGCGUAAAUACCAGUUUUUGCCUAGUAACCGCUGUGCUGAAAUCGUUAUUGCUCUUGAUUUAAUUUUAUCUUAUUAUUUCAUAGUCAUAAAGAAGACAGUAAUGUAAAUUAUUUGUGGGCUUAAACAUCUAUUUAUAUCUUUUUUUUCUUUCUCUUCACAUAAUAAAAUGGGAAAUUGUUAAACACACAUUCAUCUUCAGAACAGUGUUAUCCUAAGUCCAGGAGGAAGCUUUCAAAACAGGAGCCCAGCCAAUCGCAAACCUUUCUCUGGACAGACUCUCCUCAGCCCCAGACCCGGCUACUGAGAAAGGGCAAGAAGGAGAAGGGAAAUGACAACUCACCAGGAGAAACAGAGGGCUGAUGGCUACCCAGCAGAUCCUCCAAAACCAUCCAGGGCUGAAGCCAAGCAUUUCCUUCACGUCACUGCAGAACUGAUUGAUGCCUAAAAUCAUCCAAAAGAGAACGAGAUUGACUGACCAAGAGAGGAGCUAGACUGUCCUCCUAUCCCUUGACUCUCAGAGAGAGUAACAGCUCUGGAGUUUCUCCAAAGGAGGGGCUUGGGGUCACCAGUCUGGUCUGAAAGUGAGAUGGGGGACUUGUCACAAAAAUGCACGUUACAGUAAGCAAAGCUCUUUCUACACAGAGUGGGAGGAUUGGUGGACAUCUGGGGAGGGACCUAAAGCCCCCUCUUGGUGCCCACACUGCCUUUCUAGGAUUUCAGCAUAUAUCUGAUUUUAUCGUUACUAUAGAAAAGGAAGUGGAAUUUUGUCUAAAAAUGGUGAAACCACUUGACAGAGACUGACUCUAACCAUAUGCUGGAAACUUUGAAGAGAAAAUUUUAACCACACUGUUGCACAUUCAUAUGUCAGAUCAAGAUCAAGGUUCUUCUUAACUGGCAUGGAAGUGAGGACUGGGGGAGAAAUCGACAAGGGGAAGGAAGGGUGCUCUGCAGUUGCUUCCCUUAAAGUGCCCAGCAGCCAUAUACCCCAGCACUGUGAAGAUGACAAAUCCUGAAACGAAGCUCGUCAUGCAAUUCACCACGCUGGUCACCAAGGCGUCUCUGGAGCAGAAAACCCAAGGGGCCUGAGACAUUUCCAAGUCAGGAAUCUAAGGAGCAUCUGUCUCCAGCUGUGACAAGGCUCGCGAAAGCCAGCAGGACCCCAAAGCCAGGACCGAGAGAGAAGAAGAUCUGGGCGGCCGCAUCCACCCACACCUGCAACACAGCAGAGAUGCUAAAGUAGAUAACAGUGAAGAUCAGCAUGAUGCAGAGGGCAAGCUGCCAGCUGAUGCCCCCCAGGUCCUGGAGCCCCUUUGACCGGUGGAUCUGCAGGACGUGGCGCCUGAGUGAAUGAGAAAGAAGGGCCAGUGACGUGGUCUGAGCAGUUACCUGAGCAUACUGCGUGUGAUACCUCUGGGAGGACACCAAGAGAAAAAACGGACACAGUACUGCAAGGAUCAAGUGGUCAGCAAGCCUCGGGAAGAGCUGGGAGGGGCUCUGCCCAUCCUGAAGGAGAGAACAGGGCAGUCAAGCCGACCAAGCCUGGGAAGAGCGCUCGACCCAAAAGCAGACUUCCAGGUCUCCUUCCUAGGCUGGGACCCAAUGAAUGACUAACAUGACUGGCUUCUGGGUGCAUGAGGAUUUGUAUGUGUGGGCAGUGGGUCCCUUCCCCACCUCAAAACAGCUCCCUUUGGGCUGCUAUUUCCUGAAAUUCCAGCAUUAAAGAAAACUGCCUACUCCAGGCAUCUUCUUCCAAAGGGUAGAUCCCACAUAUUAAGUGAAUACAUGAAACCAGAAACUCUUUGUGUAGUUUCAAACUACUGAAGUAGUGGGAGGCUUUGCUUCCAUGACAGCUGGCUGCAAGGAGGGCCCAGGAAGAAGGGCAGUUUUGAUGCAGGGGAAUAAUUUUGGAAUGUGAAGGUAGGGACUGGCCUGGGCACAACAGAAAAGAGGGGGAUGGCGCAGAGACCCAGACUGUGGAGCACUCCCAACUCCCUCACUCACAUUUACUCCCCCUCCCCGAUAGCUUCAUCUCUCAGAAAUCCAUCAGCCAAGAGGUGAAGAGCCCCUGGCUCCCACCUCCCUCCUAAGAAGCCAAAGCCCAGGGGUGUGGCCUGCCCCUAACAGGCCACCCCCUCGCUUACAUGCACUUACGUAUAAAAUUCUUCUGCAGGGGAUGUUGAGUGGAGUGUCCAGGUGACGUUGUCCUCGGAGAAGUAGUUGGUGCAGUUGCCAGUGUUCCAGGAGUUCUUACAGCUGGUCCAGGGCAGCUGGGCCGCAAAAGAGGAGAUGAGGUAGUAGAGCGCCCAGGCCAUGAUGGUGUUGUAGUAGGAGGCGAUGUAAAAGGCAAUGAUGCAGAUGGCGUAACCGAUCCCUGGGAGAGAGAGGGUGAGGGAGGCCAAGUUUCAAGGGCAGCCCAGCAGUUAGGCAGGGCGUCAGGGGCACUGCAGCCCGGGUGAGGGCUAAAGGUGGGGCUGCCAUUCAUUUCAUCCUCCAAAGACUCCAGGAGACAGUGGAAAAGUGGCAAUAUGGUAGAUUCCUUAUUUGUAUUUGCAGAGUUACAUGUUUUAGAAAAUGUGUACAUGUGCUAUUAAUGCUUUUUCUAUUUCGUUUA